UGCCACCCACUCUCUUCUGGAACUACAUGGAAGACACUCGAACAACACUGCAGGAAAUGAAGAGGAGAGACUUGGCAACAAAUGCGACAUGGUAACAUGCAGAAAGGAUAUAGAGGGUUUUUUGAGGAAACAAGAACAGAGGAAAGAAGAAAAAAUAAGAGAGAGGUUGAAAAAGGUGAAUGGAAUGGAAAAUGCGGGAAACAUGAAAGGUGAUACCCGCGUACAGACUGUUUCAUCUGCUGAGUGCGGCGAGAUGGAGCUUUGGGACACCAAACUACAUAACAUUUCAUAAGAAACACUGAGAAGGAGAGAGACUCCUGACUGAUAUUUUCACAUUAACACCUGUGGUGAACAGUUUGCAAUAAACCAAAACUGAAAAGAGUGUUGUAUUUUGAGUUUUACAUUUUUAACAAAUUUGAAUGGUGAUUGAUUUAUUUUAUUUCUCACUGUAUACCUACCAGUAUUAGAAGUAUUCUCCUUCUGAAAGACCCCUAAGGGCAAACAUGCUUUGGCAUCAGGAAUUAUGCUUUGACUCAGUUGUUCUGAAAUGGUGGGUCAGAACUGUUCUGACAGAGAA
ensembl:lncRNA